rnacentral:tRNA from 2 species
GCACAAGUGAUCUAGUGGUUAUGAUACGAGGUUCCCAAUCUCGUCACCCGGGUUCGACUCCCGGCUUGUGCA